GGGGAUGCGUCUGAUUAGGUAGUCGGCGGGGUAACGGCCCACCGAGCCAUCGAUCAGUAGGGGUUCUGAGAGGAAGGUCCCCCACAUUGGAACUGAGACACGGUCCAAACUCAUACGGGAGGCAGCAGUGAGGAAUAUUGGUCAAUGGGCGCGAGCCUGAACCAGCCAAGUAGCGUGCGGGACGACGGCCCUAUGGGUUGUAAACUGCUUUUAUGCGGGGAUAAAGUCAGUUACGCGUAACUGUUUGUAGGUACCGCGUGAAUAAGGACCGGCUAAUUCCGUGCCAGCAGCCGCGGUAAUACGGAAGGUCCGGGCGUUAUCCGGAUUUAUUGGGUUUAAAGGGAGCGCAGGCCGAUGGUUAAGCGUGACGUGAAAUGUAGCCGCUCAACGGCUGAGUUGCGUCGCGAACUGACUGUCUUGAGUGAGUUCGGUGUGGGCGGAAUUCGUGGUGUAGCGGUGAAAUGCUUAGAUAUCACGAAGAACUCCGAUUGCGAAGGCAGCCCACAAGGCCUUUACUGACGCUAAAGCUCGAAGGUGCGGGUAUCGAACAGGAUUAGAUACCCUGGUAGUCCGCACGGUAAACGAUGGAUGCCCGCUGUUUGCGAUAUACAGUAAGCGGCCAAGAGAAAUCGUUAAGCAUCCCACCUGGGGAGUACGCCGGCAACGGCGAAACUCAAAGGAAUUGACGGGGGCCCGCACAAGCGGAGGAACAUGUGGUUUAAUUCGAUGAUACGCGAGGAACCUUACCCGGGCUUGAACUGCAGGAGAAGGAUACAGAGAUGUUGACGCCCUUCGGGGCUCCUGUGGAGGUGCUGCAUGGUUGUCGUCAGCUCGUGCCGUGAGGUGUCGGCUUAAGUGCCAUAACGAGCGCAACCCUUGCUGUCAGUUGCCAUCAGGUAAUGCUGGGCACUCUGGCGGUACUGCCACCGUAAGGUGUGAGGAAGGUGGGGAUGACGUCAAAUCAGCACGGCCCUUACGUCCGGGGCUACACACGUGUUACAAUGGGUGGUACAGAGAGUCAGCCGCCGGCAACGUCGGUUCAAUCUUGAAAGCCAUCCUCAGUUCGGACUGGGGUCUGCAACCCGACCCCACGAAGCUGGAUUCGCUAGUAAUCGCGCAUCAGCCAUGGCGCGGUGAAUACGUUCCCGGGCCUUGCACUCACCGCCCGUCAAG
rnacentral:rRNA from 1 species